AGUGAACGCUGGCGGUAGGCCUAACACAUGCAAGUCGAACGGCAGCACAGUAAGCGCUUGCUAUUACGGGUGGCGAGUGGCGGACGGGUGAGGAAUACGUAGGAAUCUACUUUUUCGUGGGGGAUAACGUAGGGAGACUGACGCUAAUACCGAAUACGACCUACGGGUGAAAGCAGGGGUUAUUCGGACCUUGCGCGAUCGAAUGAGUCGAUGUCGGAUUAGCUAGUUGGCGGGGGAGAGGACGACCAAGGAGACGAUCCGUAGCUGGUCUGCGAGGAUGAUCAGCCACACGGGAACGGGGCCACGGUCCACACCCCUACGGGAGGCAGCAUUGGGGAAUAUUGGACAAGGACCGCAAUCCGGCUCCACCCAUACCGCUGAGUUGAAGAAGGCCUUGGAUUGUUAAAGCCUUUUUGUAGGGAAAGAAGAUCAGCAGGUUAAUACCCCGCUGUUCUGACGGUACCCAAAGAAUAAGCACCGGCUAACUUCGUG
rnacentral:rRNA from 1 species